AGAUUGAACGCUGGCGGCAGGCCUAACACAUGCAAGUCGAGCGGUAGAGAGGUGCUUGCAUCUCUUGAGAGCGGCGGACGGGUGAGUAAUGCCUAGGAAUCUGCCUAGUGGUGGGGGAUAACGUUCGGAAACGGACGCUAAUACCGCAUACGUCCUACGGGAGAAAGGCGGGGACCUUCGGGCCUCGCGCCAUUAGAUGAGCCUAGGUCGAUUAGCUAGUUGGUGAGGUAAUGGCUCACCAAGGCGACGAUCCGUAACUGGUCUGAGAGGAUGAGUCAAGUCAACACGUGGAACUGAAGACACGGUCCAAGACUCGUACGGGAGCAGCAGGUGGGAAUAUUGGACUAGUGGGACGAAAGCCUGACUCCGAGUCC
rnacentral:rRNA from 1 species